rnacentral:rRNA from 1 species
GAUGAACGCUGGCGGCGUGCUUAACACAUGCAAGUCGAACGGUGAAGCAGGAGCUUGCUCUUGUGGAUCAGUGGCGAACGGGUGAGUAACACGUGAGCAACCUGCCCCUGACUCUGGGAUAAGCGCUGGAAACGGCGUCCAAUACUGGAUAUGUGAUGUGACCGCAUGGUCUGCAUCUGGAAAGAAUUUCGGUUGGGGAUGGGCUCGCGGCCUAUCAGCUUGUUGGUGAGGUAAUGGCUCACCAAGGCGUCGACGGGUAGCCGGCCUGAGAGGGUGACCGGACACACUGGGACUGAGACACGGCCCAGACUCCUACGGGAGGCAGCAGUGGGGAAUAUUGCACAAUGGGCGGAAGCCUGAUGCAGCAACGCCGCGUGAGGGAUGACGGCCUUCGGGUUGUGAACCUCUUUUAGCAGGGAAGAAGCGAAAGUGACGGUACCUGCAGAAAAAGCACCGGCUAACUACGUGCCAGCAGCCGCGGUAA